rnacentral:tRNA from 1 species
GUGAACUUAGUAUAAAAGAUNAAACAUUUGAUUUGCACUCAAAAAAUCUAGGUUUAACCCCUAGAAUUCACA